rnacentral:rRNA from 1 species
UNACACGUGCUUACAAUGGUCCGGUACAAAGGGUUGCCAAGCCGCGAGGUGGAAGCUAAUCCCAUAAAACCGAUCGUAGUCCGGAUCGCAGUCUGCAACUCGACUGCGUGAAGUCGGAAUCGCUAGUAAUCGUGAAUCAGAAUGUCACGGUGAAUACGUUCCCGGGCCUUGUACACACCGCCCGUCACACCAUGGGAGUGGGUUGCUCCAGAAGUAGCUAGUCUAACCGCAAGGGGGACGGUUACCACGGAGUGAUUCAUGACUGGGGUGAAGUCGUAACAAGGUAGCCGUAGGGGAACCUGCGGUU